GAAUGGCAAACCCGUGGAAGCAAGUAAUUCUGGUGCUGAACUGCAGGAGGUGGACAACAUGACGCUGCGGAGGUUCCUGCGCGCGCGCGACCACGACGUGGGCAAGGCCUCGGCGAUGCUGCUCAAGUUCGUGGCGUGGAGGCGGGAGGCCGUGCCGGGCGGCGUCGGCGGCGUGAUGCCGGCCGAUCUGGUGCGGACGGAGCUGUCGCAGGACAAGGCCCGCAUGGGCGGCGUCGACCGCGCCGGCCGCCCCGUCCUGCUCGUCUUCCCCGCCAGGCACUUGUCCGCCGACCGCGACAUGGCGGAGCACAAGCGUGCGUGCACGCACAUGCUGCAGAUGAUCCCAAGCUAUCUGCCAAUGCAAUGAAACUUGAUCAUAUCAUGCAUUUUCGACUCUUUUUUGCAGGACUUGUCGUGUACCUGCUGGACAGGAUCAGUGCCAGGAUCCCGCGGGGGCAGGACAAGUUCAUGUGCAUCGUGGACCUCAAGGGGUGGGGGUACCCCAACUCCGACGUGCGCGCCUACAUCGCCGCCAUCGAGAUCAUGCAGGGCUACUACCCGGAGCGGCUGGGCAAGGCGCUCAUGGUCCACGUGCCCUACAUCUUCAUGAAGGCCUGGAAGAUGGUCUACCCCUUCAUCGACACCAACACCAGGGACAAGGUGCGUGUAUCCAUGUUCAAACAAUUACUAGUAGUAAAAAUGCCAACGUUGCUCUGCUUCUGCUUGCUUAACUGUUUGCGCGCGCAUGCAGUUCGUGUUCGUGGACGACAAGAACUUGGAGGAGACUCUGCGGCGGGAGAUGGACGAGAGCCAGGUGCCGGAGAUGUACGGCGGGAAGCUGCCCACUGUCCCCCUCACCGACGAUUAGCUAGCUACAACGUACGAUCGAUCCAUGUACCUAGUACCGAGACAAACAAUGGUCUCCUGUAGAUGUAAUUGGGGGAGAGAUACGUACUAGCUCGCACCGUCACUGUCUGUUUUGUAGGAUAAUUUCUCAUCAAAUCCGUUUUUUAGAAAGAAGGCUCGAGACAAAGCGCUUUCAAAUUAAUGAAGUCAUCCCUGACCGGUCAGGGAGUAAAUUGCAGGAAACCACCACAUUCAUGGACCCUAAAUCAAAAACCACCAGUUUACGUUUUUUUCAAAAACCCAUAAGUAUUGUGCUGACAGUUUGGCAAAAACACUGAACGAUCGAUUAGCACCUGUUGACGUCAAAUCUGACCGGUGGGUCCCAUCGAUGGUGCCAUGUAGGCAACAUUUGGUUCAUGAAUUGUGAGGCUAAGGAACCCAAGGCAUUACCAGAUGAAAUUGACCAAACCAAUCAAAAAUAUAGUUCUCACUGUAUGACAGAACAUGACGUCAUGGAUGUGGCCUACUUCCAUGACGGUCGAACAUUCAUCAUUGAUGGUGCUGAAAUUGUCAUAGAAGUGCCCACACAUGGCCCGCUUAACUUAUAUGACAGAGUUGGUUACAGUUCUAUGUCCGUUUUUUAGGUUCUGUCAUAGAUUGUGUCAACCUCUCUUGGAAGUACACAUACAGUAAUGCUAUACCGACGGACAGUUACAGGGUUUUACGGGGUGAGUUUCAUGUGGCAAAUCGUGAUUGGAUUAAGGGGAGUGAGGGGCCCCACCCACCUGAAAAUCGAGGGGGGGGGGGCAAUGUUUAGUUGGUUAGGAAGGAGCCCGUAGGAGCAUGUAAAACCCCAUACAUCUAGCAUUUUUGGUGCACAUAUACAUGCCUAUUUUUUUCUCGUCAAGUCAUUUCGUCAUAGAUAUCACUAUAUGUUGUAGUGAUGAUUGAUGAGACUCACUGAAAAGCAAUUAGUCUCUCCUAAAUAAAAAUAAAAAUAUGCCGUGCACCUCAUUGAUAACAACGAGACAAUAUUACUAUUUAGAACAAAAUGAAAAUCAUGCAAGAAGUUCAAAAUACGGAAGGACACUAUUAAAGAGUUAUUUGUGGUUUGUCCUCACUCCUUUAAUAGUACUUCAAAAUUUAUCCAAGUUUCGCAACAAUUAUGUUAUGUUCAAAUUGCUAUACUACACAAAUAAUAGAUUACUACACUACAUAAAUAGCUAGUUAAUGCAUAAUAGUAGUGUUAGUGUGAACAUAUCAACAUGGACUUGAGUGCACUCAAACAAAGAAACCAUAUGCAGAUAAGAAAUAUGCUUGUCUUUUAUUUCCAAAUUAAAACUAGUACAGGUCCGGUUUGCACACGGUAGUGCAUGACACUUUAUUUGUCGCCACUACAUCAAUCGAACCAUCAACUGAUCAACGGCGAACAAUCUAUCUAGUAUUACAGCUCUAGUCAGUUACCAACGAUGCCACCAAAUGAGUCGGUGAUGGUGGAGCGAUAUUGUGAGACAUACGCACCGCACACCGCCGGUAGUGUUUGCAAGACAAACAUCCUUAUUGCCUCAAAUGGAGGUUGGAUGGAGCCCUGGCCCGACGGGUAUUGUUGUUGAGGUAGCUUGAAGGUGCCCACACCCCACGAGUAUUGUUGUUGUUAUUGUUGAUGAUGAUGAUGCAAAAUAAUGGCAUGGACGACAGUAUUGAUGGCCAGGCAUCAUGACUGCUCAGGGAGCUGCAUGAACUGCUCACAACACUCUUUCCGCAUCACCNNNNNNNNNNNNNNNNNNNNNNNNNNNNNNNNNNNNNNNNNNNNNNNNNNNNNNNNNNNNNNNNNNNNNNNNNNNNNNNNNNNNNNNNNNNNNNNNNNNNNNNNNNNNNNNNNNNNNNNNNNNNNNNNNNNNNNNNNNNNNNNNNNNNNNNNNNNNNNNNNNNNNNNNNNNNNNNNNNNNNNNNNNNNNNNNNNNNNNNNNNNNNNNNNNNNNNNNNNNNNNNNNNNNNNNNNNNNNNNNNNNNNNNNNNNNNNNNNNNNNNNNNNNNNNNNNNNNNNNNNNNNNNNNNNNNNNNNNNNNNNNNNNNNNNNNNNNNNNNNNNNNNNNNNNNNNNNNNNNNNNNNNNNNNNNNCGCCCUUGCAUAUUUACUAAAGGAUAUUUUUAGAGGAUUAGAAGUCGAUGAGGGGAGUGCAUGAUGAGGCGUUUACGUUCGCGUCACACCAGAUGUGAUGGAAGUCGGCGUAGUCGGUGAUGUUGUACAACGUUUACGUCCUUGUCACACCGCUAAUAUGUUUGAAGAUGUUUCACAAAGUUUAGUGAGUAUAUGUUGUCUAUCUCAUGUUAUGUACAUCUACAAUCUACGGAACGUAUUAGUGCUUAUAUUUACACAUUGUGUAACUAAAUAUCGAAUGGUUGCAGUUCUCGGUACACAAUGUGAGGCACUCCCCCCGUAAAGAAAUAUAAGAGCAUUUAGAUCAACACGGAAGAAGUAAUAAAGUAAUGCGGUGUGACCGGGCUUCCACGAAGUGCUACCUGCCACGAACAAUGUGGGGUAAAUAAUUUCAAAAAAAUUAAUUUAGCAUUUUGAUCACUAAUUUACAGAGGGAAUAAUAUUAACUAUGUUGGAACGAGACGAAAGUUCUUCGGAAACAAGACCAAUAGCAGCCGGCUUACGAGAAGUCAAACUUGCAUCCGUGCUACAAAAAUCUCCACGAGAAUGGAACGCAGGAAAACAAAUGCACCCGACGCCACGACAAGCAGAGGAACGGAGAAUCACUGCAUACUCUCCUCUGGCUUAUAUUCCACCGGUCAAACACGUGUGCAUACUAGUAGUAGCUUGCCACUCCCUUUCUAUCCUGCAUUUCUCCUCCUGCACAGCCAGAGACGAGACAGGCACAGACUCCCCGCUAUACGAGUGCUCACGGUGCUAGUUAGAAGGACAGGAGCCGGGAGGAGAGGAGACCGAUGGCGAGCAGCGUGGGGGGAGAUGCCGGGGAAGGGGAGUGGCUCAAGGUCGCCGAGCUGAGGGCCAUGGCGGGAGCCCAGGACCCGCAUGUCAAGGUACGUUCCUUCCUUCAUCUUCGUCGCUGUCGUACGUCCUCCUUUCGAGAGAUGGACUGUGGAUGCGUAUGCACGCUCGACGGUUUGUCACCGGCGAUCGAUAUGCAACUAACCAGAAAUCCCCGGCCGCUUUGCAUGCUUAAGCUGUGUUCGGCCGCUCGCCAAAAUUUCACUGUAUGCCGCUCUGCUUCGCUCAGGAGUUACGGAGAGGAGAGAUUCCGAACGGCCUCUUAAUUUUAGUAGAUUGCGAGCAGAACGCAAACAACCGAUUUUCAUUUUUUUGAUACCGAGACGAAAGUAUCAGUAGCAUAUAUGAGUACGUUAUACGGCCGGUAACCUGUCACUUUCAUUGGUCAAUAAGGUAUACGGAGGAACUCCCUGCCCUGCUUGAACUACCUCGUGAUCAUGCAAAAAUUCUGCCUGGGUUUGGGUGGCGUCCGCUUGAUGAUGGAAUUAUCAAAAUCGAUACACACAAUGCCAUCUUUUCUGAUCUGUGGAAGGGAGGGGUGGACCGUGGACGGCGUUGUUCGUUCUGCUUCGUCGUUUAUUGCUGCAUGGAGCAAGCCUUACGAGGAUGUUACCGACCCGCUAAUCAUAGAGACCUUAUCCUUCUAUGAUGGCGUUCGUCUAGCAAGCAUCCGCGGUUUUAGUCAUGUGACCGCGGAGUUAGAUUGCCUGGAGCUAGUUAAUCUCUGGCACACUAGGUGACUGUCACGCUCGAUGUAGCGUCUCUUUUAGAUGAAAUAGGAGAGCGUAUACCUCAGUCUAUUUCUUUUUUCCUUUCAGCAUGUAAUUUGUACUGCUAACCUCCCGGCUUACCUCUGUGCGAAGUUUGCUUGCACUUCGGAUGUGUCCGAGAAUUGGCUACAUGUUACACCCAGUUUUCUGAACAGUAGCCCAAGGCUGUUUUUGUUGAAUAAAGCUCUUCAAGUUUGCCCGCAAAAAAUAAGGUAUACAGAGCAUCUCGGUAGCAGUUCGUUGUAUGAACAGAUCAUGGGGGAUUCAUCUUAACAAAUUGAUCCUUAACUGAACAACCAGAUGCUCCAGAAAAAGUGAUGGGAACAGGCGUAUCGUACUCGUAGCUCAACUUUAGCUAGCAGAGCCAUGUGGCCACGUGAAGCAAGGGCGCCGCGCCGACCCUACUGUUUUUCGAGUAAAUAGGCAAAAACUAUCACAGUUGAGACAACUUUUUUUCCCAGAACUACCACUUCCAAAUUUUUUUGCCAAAACUUACCAAUUUUGUGUUGUUUUUUUCUUUUAAAAAUUAUCGUAUUUUGUUGAUGGCCGAUUGACCUCAAACUAUCGUAUUUUGUCAGCUCAAUGGUGGUUAUGACAUAUAUGGCCCACCCUUUAGGACCGACGUAGCACAAAGCCACAAAGUCAACCCCAUUGAGCUGCAUUGUAAUGUUGACCGUUAUGACAUGUGGGGCCCACACGCUAUUUUCAAGGAGGGGGUUGGAGGGGGGCGCUCGCGCACAUGCACUAGGCGAAGCACUUUCAGUUUGUGCGUUCGGUUAACCAACCGCUCGCACGGAUGCAGGAGGCGAGGCUAGGUUUAGCAAUAAUCCUACAUCUAUGUAUCCACUACGUAACCUUACAUAAUCUUCCUAAUAUAAUUCUCUCUUUCCCCCUUGAUUUUUGCGGGAUGGGGCCGUGCCAUUUUCCCUUCCAAUCAGAGCAUGCCAAACCAACUCUUACGUAGCUUUACGAUGAAUCUCUACCCCGGCUGCCUCCAGCCCCGAACACGUGGCGCGUGCUCUGCCUCGCAGGGUGGUCAUCCCUCGUGGGCCAGCACGGGUUCCUCUUCGCGGUGCCACUGCGUCGACUCUUCGCGGACGCUUCCCCUUUCCCGGGCCCGGAUGUCAGGGAGCUCGGCGCCGAGGGCAUCCCUGCAAAGAGCGUCUCCAUGGUGGACGUGUAUUACAGGCCUCGUGUUGUCCCAUGUGGUGGAGAUGACCGUGUCACCGCCAUGGUUCCUUAGCUCACAGCUCUGCGUCGAGGUCAUGGAUUACAAGAAGCUAGCGCCGGUGGCGGUGGCGUUCUCUUCGGCGGAGGUCGAGCUGAGCUAGUAGGUCGUCAACCCCGCCCGCGGCCAAGCGAUGAAGGUGUCUAGCAGGCAUGCGGUCGCCUUGGCCCGGCAAUGGUAUGCCGGUGAGAUGUUGGUGCGGUUCGCGAUGGUGCUGGGCAGUUGCAACUUCAAGAUCACCGUGACUUGAUCCGAAGAGGCCAGACACGUCAGCAAGGUCAGCCUCGCAGUGGAGAAUGCCCACGGCGCUAUCGUCUACAAGCUGCCCGAGGAAAUUUCCCAUAGAUAAAAUGUUUCCAGAGAGAAAAUGGUUGAUGCUGACAUGGGUCCCACCUGUAAUAGUGGCUGAAUAACGGUCAAAGUUAACAGAGUUGACAUUUUAUGCCGUGUUAGCCCUGACAAGUGGGGCCAGCAUGUCAUAAACGAUUCUAAGAUGCCCAAACCCGUACCCAACUCGAAGGAGUAUGUUUUAGCAAAAAGUUAGCGCAAAAUUGGUAGGCUAUGACAAAAAAAAUGUAAAGAGAUAGUUCUAGGGAAGGUUGCCCCAAUCGUGAUAGUAUCACUCACGAUAACUAUCCAAGUAAGCAUACAGCGGAUCGAAUAAGCUCGAAUCACCGAGACACGUGGCGCAGAGUAAUACUACAUCUACAAAGGUUUACUUAAAAAAAUUACAUAUAAACUGAUGUGGAUGAUUGUGAUUGGUAAUAGAGAGGGGUGAGGGUUCACCCCACUUAAAUUUAGGGGAUAGAGACUCUUAGAGGGUGUUUGUUUCCAGGGAUUUAUUGGUCUAGGGACUUCAAAAAGUUCCUAUAAAUUCCAUCUAAAUCAAACAGGAAGGACUUAUAGGGACUUAAAAUGGGCAUUUAGGACUUAUGAAAUAAGACUUUCAAGGAGGGACUUAUAGAGACUUAUAAUUGUAAUAUGAUCUUAUAGAGACUUAUAAGUCCCAGGAACCAAACAAGUAGAGACUUUUUAGGGAUGUGGGACUUAUAAGUUGGGACUAAAAAAAGUCCUACAACUUAUGAAUCAAACAUGGCCUUAGUUUGAAAGGUUAGUAAACCUUUGUAGAUUCUUUGGAGGUCAAUGCUCGCAGCUAGAAGAACUCAGUACAGUAUUAACUUAGUUAAUUCCAUUCAGUAUUUUACCUGAUCGAAUAUACUGACGCGUACGUGCAGGAGGUGGACAACCUGACGCUCCGGAGGUUCCUGCGCGCGCGUGGCCACGACGUGGGCAAGGCCUCGGCGAUGCUGCUCAAGUUCAUGGCGUGGAGGCGGGAGGCCGUGCCGGGGGGCGUCGGCGCCGUCAUGCCGGCGGAGCUGGUGCGGGCGGAGCCGUCGCGCGAGUUGGCCUCCAUGGGCGGGGUCGACCGCGCAGGCCGCCCCGUCCUGCUCGCCUUCCCGGCCAAGCACUUCUCCGCCAACCGGGACAUGGCCGGCUUCAAGCGUACGCACAUCGACCCCGCCUUCACCCCCAUGGCCUCCGAUCUUCGCUUGCUAACGAUCGACGAUGGAGCUUGAUGAGCUUGGUUACCUUCAUCCGGUGCAGGGCUCGUUGUGUACCUGCUGGACAGUGUCUGCUCGAGGAUCCCACGGGGGCAGGACAAGUUCAUCGUCGUGGUGGACCUCAAGGGGUGGGGGUACGCCAACUGCGACGUGCGCGCGUACGUGGCGGC
rnacentral:lncRNA from 1 species